rnacentral:rRNA from 1 species
UACAGAGACUGCAAGCGUUAUUCGGAUUCACUGGGCGUAAAGGGUGCGCAGGCGGCCAAGUGUGUGAGGCGUGAAAGCCUGGAGCCUAACUCCAGAAUUGCACCUCAAACUACAUGGCUAGAGCAUUGGAGAGGGUAGCAGAAUUCAUGGUGUAGCAGUGAAAUGCGUAGAUAUCAUGAGGAAUACCAGAGGCGAAGGCGGCUACCUGGACAAUUGCUGACGCUCAGGCACGAAAGCGUGGGGAGCAAAAGGG